rnacentral:lncRNA from 1 species
GGGGAGGUGGUGGCGCUUGGUGGCCACUGGCGGCCGAGGUAGAGGCAGUGGCGCUUGAGUUGGUCGGGGGCAGCGGCAGAUUUGAGGCUUAAGCAACUUCUUCCGGGGAAGAGUGCCAGUGCAGCCACUGUUACAAUUCAAGAUCUUGAUCUAUAUCCAUAGAUUGGAAUAUUGGUGGGCCAGCAAUCCUCAGACGCCUCACUUAGGACAAAUUGUAUUUAUGAGCUUGUGUUGCAGUUAUCUAUUGCUGUGUAACAAAGUACCUCAAACUUAGUGGCUUAAAACAACAGUCAUUUAUUUUGUUCAUAUAUUUGCAGUUUGAGCAAGGCUUGAUUGGUAGGGAUGCUUGUCUCUGUUAACAUACAGCAUGAGGUGGGGUGGCUGGAAGGGUUGGAGUGGCUCAGUGGCUGGGAACUGGGAUCCUUUGAAGGUAGGCUUGCUCACUCACAUAUCUGGUGGUUAAAGCUGGCUGUUGGCUAGGACCUCAGCCUGGGCUGUUGGCAAGAACACCUUCAUGUGACUUCUCCUUGUGGCUGCUUGGCUUCUUCACAGCAUGGUGCCUGGGUUCCGAGAGAGAGAGCAUCCCAAGAGAGGAAGGCAAAGGUGCAUGGCAUAUUUGACUUGGUUUUGGAAGUCACAUAGUGUUACUUUGCUCUGUCCUACUGGUUGAUGUAGUUGUAAAGGUUCUCCCAAGUUUCAAGGAAGCUGUGGACAUAGACCCCACCACUUGAAAGGAUCAACAUCAUAUUGU